UGCGCCACACACCAGGCCAUUGUUAGUUAGCAGAACAGGAAAGCGUUUCAACUUAUCUGAAUAAGACACUGCUCCGCGCAGGUCGAGGUAUCCGGGCCUCUGUAAAACUUAGUAUACCGCUGGAAGUCACGACUCUCUCGGUAAAUGCAUCCUCUCAGUACCAGAAAUGUAUAAAGAUGCUCAUUCGGUGCAAGGUAGUCAUCACUCGAGAUCAUGCAAGAAACCUCUUCAGCUUCGCUCCUCACUAACGCUCUGAUCCACCCCGAGGGUCAGAACGCAAGCUCCAACCCGCAACAUGGCAUACGCUUCUUUGGUAAGUUCUAAUGAAUAUAUUCUAACGAUGUUUUAAGUUAUACGUUGAAUAUACGGUGGGGGAAUCCCCCCUAUGACGCCACUGAUCAUGUGAUACCGUAGUAAUGUCACUUGGGGAAUCCCCCCUUACGCUUUUCGGCUGUGUAACAAUAUAUGUUUAAUUAUUUUUCAGACCUCACAGGUGUGGAGCAAGAAAAUGUACUUUUAACACCGUUCAACUACGGUUUUUUUGAUGGGAACGUUCUAUAAGGUGAGGAAAGACUGAGCUAGCAAUAUUAUCCUUGUAAUGAAUAGCUUAUGAAAAAUAAGUGGUUUGUGUGUUCUUUCUGUGGGGUUUCUUGUUUGGUUCCUAGAUAAUGAAGGAGUCCUCAGAAGAACUUGAAGUGAAGCACACCUCCCUCAGUCCGGGCUAUUUCUACCACAAAAUCCAAGAAUGGAACCCUUCCCAUGAUUACUGGCUCUUCUACAACCUAAUCGACGGCAAAAUAUUUACUAAUGUUUAUCGGAAUAAUCAUUUUUCUUAAAUCAUGAUUUUAUUCUUGUGUUUUUGCCCCCAAAAAACAGCAAGCGGUCUAACCCAGACAGAAGGCUACAAAGAGAUGUGCAAUAAGGAAAAGUAUUCCUCUUCAGCACACUGUGAAAAGGACAAAGACAUUUAUGUGUGAAAUGUUUAUCUCCCCUUUUUAGAUAAUUUCAAGGCUCAG